AUGAGCAAUUGCCUACUUUCUCUAGUUGCCUUCUUGCCUGGAAUAAUCAUCCUUUGUGGCUUGAUUGCUUUGGUCUGCAUUGUGCUUUUCGGCACCACACCUGCUCGUGGACAAAGGAAGACUGUCAAGAAGUUCAGGGAACCAGGAAAGAUUGGAUGUGAUAUCUGUAAUGUAGUUGCCAACCCAAAUGUACCUCCAGAAGACAUUGAAUUUGCUAUAGGUGAUUAUCUAGUCAAGGUGGAGAAGGGGAUCAGUCCUGACUCCAAUGUGUGCCUGGAGAUGUUUCCAAAAGAGCAGUUUGUGCCUGGCAGCAAUAACUCUUUACAGAUCUUCCUGGAGAGAAUUGCUGGCACUUCCCAGAAAAGAGGUGAUGUGACAUCCACCACCAUCACUAAGAACAGAAAGUCCAAGUAGGCAGCAAAAGACAAGCCAAGAAGGCAGCAAAAGUGAAGUUAAAAAGAGAGAACCUACCCUGUUUUCAACUUGGCAACUUGCCCUUCUACAACUUGCAGUGCAAAGAACCUUCUCUCCUUUGUCACCUAAGAACUAAGCUUGCGGGUGUGCUUCUCACUGCUUCAUUAAAAAUUCACUGUGGUUAACACUCAUACUAGAUGUUUGGGUUUAUUUAUAGCUUUUUAUGUUUAAAUGUGAUACACUGACAUUGUUGGUAUAAUUGAAAACCAAAUUCAUUGUUUUAACUUCAGUGCAGAGGAAACUAUGGGGAAGUAAAUGCUUUUAUUUUACAUUUCCAUUUGAGAAUUAGAAAUACUGAUUAAAAAAAGGAUUUUUUCUUAGUGUUAGCAAAUCUAAGUGUCCAUCUAUUAAUUGAUGCCUGGACAAAAAUGCCCAGUGGCACUUGUUAAAAUGGAGAAAUGUAAGUAACAGGUGUCCUAGUAGAAUAGCUGACACUUAUUUUUAAGCCUACACUUACUGUUCUG
rnacentral:lncRNA from 1 species